UGGGGAAUAUUGCACAAUGGGCGCAAGCCUGAUGCAGCCAUGCCGCGUGUAUGAAGAAGGCCUUCGGGUUGUAAAGUACUUUCAGCGGGGAGGAAGUGAGUAAAGUUAAUACCUUUGCUCAUUGACGUUACCCGCAGAAGAAGCACCGGCUAACUCCGUGCCAGCAGCCGCGGUAAUACGGAGGGUGCAAGCGUUAAUCGGAAUUACUGGGCGUAAAGCGCACGCAGGCGGUUUGUUAAGUCAGAUGUGAAAUCCUCGGGCUCAACCUGGGAACUGCAUCUGGUACUGGCAAGCUUGAGUCUCGUAGAGGGGGGUAGAAUUCCAGGUGUAGCGGUGAAAUGCGUAGAGAUCUGGAGGAAUACCGGUGGCGAAGGCGGCCCCCUGGACGAGGACUGACGCUCAGGUGCGAAAGCGUGGGGAGCAAACAGG
rnacentral:rRNA from 1 species